CUCCAACCUGGCGCUCAAUGGCAUCGUCUUGGGGACCAUCUUCCUGGGCGGCUCCAUGAUGGCCGGGGACGAGCUCUCACCAGGCGACCUGAUGUCCUUCCUGGUGGCCUCGCAGACGGUGCAAAGGUCCAUGGCCAACAUCUCCAUCCUGCUUGGGCAGGUAGGUGGGGCGGGGGCUCCCGCUGGCC